GACGAACGCUGGCGGCGUGCUUAACACAUGCAAGUCGAACGGAAAGGCUCCAUCUUGCUGGCGUACUCGAGUGGCGAACGGGUGAGUAACACGUGGGUAAUCUGCCCUGCACUCUGGGAUAAGCCUGGGAAACUGGGUCUAAUACUGGAUAUGACCUUUCUCCUUUUGGGGUUUUGUGGAAAGUUUUUCGGUUUUGGAUUGGCCCGCGGCCUAUCAGCUUGUUGGUGGGGUUAUGGCCUACCAAGGCGACGACGGGUACCCGGCCUGAGAAGGUGAUCAGCAACAGGGGGACGGAGAGACGGCGCAGAAGGCUACGGGAGGAAGCAGUGGGGAAUAGUGCACAAUGGGGGGAAGCAUGAUGAAGAGAAGCCGCGUGAGGGAUGACGGCCUUCGGGUUGUAAACAUCUUUCAGAAGGGAAGAAGAGUAAGUGACGGUACCUGAAGAAGAAGCACCGGCUAACUAUGUG
rnacentral:rRNA from 1 species